rnacentral:miRNA from 1 species
ACAUUUUCGUCAUUCGUGACAUGUAAACCAAAUAUCAAACAUGUUUGAUAUUUGGUUUACAUGUCACGAAUGACGAAAAUGC